rnacentral:rRNA from 1 species
GGAAUCUUGCGCAAUGGGCGAAAGCCUGACGCAGCGAUGCCGCGUGCGGGAAGACGGCCUUCGGGUUGUAAACCGCUUUCAGCAGGGACGAAAUUGACGGUACCCGUAGAAGAAGCCCCGGCUAACUUCGUGCCAGCAGCCGCGGUAAUACGAAGGGGGCUAGCGUUGCUCGGAAUCACUGGGCGUAAAGCGCACGUAGGCGGCUUUCUAAGUCAGGGGUGAAAUCCUGGAGCUCAACUCCAGAACUGCCUUUGAUACUGGAGAGCUUGAGUUCGGGAGAGGUGAGUGGAACUGCGAGUGUAGAGGUGAAAUUCGUAGAUAUUCGCAAGAACACCAGUGGCGAAGGCGGCUCACUGGCCCGAUACUGACGCUGAGGUGCGAAAGCGUGGGGAGC